AUAAAUCAAGCACUAAAAUGAAAAAAGGUACAUAUCAUAUUUUAUUUUCAGAGCGAAACUGUGUCCAAUGCGGUUAAUAUUUUCAAUUUAGCCUGUACAACAUUCGUCUUCUUUCAGCUAUUAAUCGUUUACUGGCAUGGGCAAAUACUGAUAGAGGAGAGUGGUACCAUUUCUACUGCAAUUUUCCAGGGUGACUGGGAUGAAGCGGAUCAGAAAACUAAAAAAAUACUCAUCACUAUGAUGACGAGAUCUGUUAAACCAUUGAGUUUAACGGUUGGACCUUUCUUUGUUGUCAAUUUGGAACUUUUUCUGAAGAUUACCAAAACAGUCUACUCAAUAACCACUCUUUUUUUCAAAACUAGAGAUGAAUAGAUUCGACCUUGCAGAAAUACUUGAAAUACAAAUUGAGAACCAUAUAUUUAUUAUAAUUUAUUGAUUGCACAUUGAGGUUGAUAGAUUAAUUAAAGAAAUUCAAUCAGUA